GAAAUGCGAUAAGUAGUGUGAAUUGCAGAAUUCAGUGAAUCAUCGAAUUUUUGAACGCACAUUGCGCCCUUUGGUAUUCCAAAGGGCAUGCCUGUUCGAGCGUCAUUUGUACCCUCAAGCUUUGCUUGGUGUUGGGCGUCUUGUCUCUAGCUUUGCUGGAGACUCGCCUUAAAGUAAUUGGCAGCCGGCCUACUGGUUUCGGAGCGCAGCACAAGUCGCACUCUCUAUCAGCAAAGGUCUAGCAUCCAUUAAGCCUUUUUUCAACUUUUGACCUCGGAUCAGGUAGGGAUACCCGCUGAACUUAAGC
rnacentral:misc_RNA from 1 species